GAGGGCUUUGUCCCGGCGCGCACAGCGGUUUCUCCCGGUUCCCGCCGGCUCUUCCGCGUCCCCCCACCCACCCUACUUCCUCCGCGCAGAGGGGAGCUUUGCGACUGCACACCUGCCUGGGGAUGUAAGGCGGAUGUAACGCCUCAGACGUGCGCCCUGCAGCUUGUCAAUUCCAUCCUCGCGGGGCCAACGGGUCACUUCUCGUCUCUCCUCGCCGCCCAGCUGGCGGGACGCCGAACUGAGCCUUCACCCGUCCCGGGCUCUGCCGCCUCCUGUUCACACUGCUUUGGGAAGGAGUAGGGGACAUUGGAAGUCAGCCCAGCGCCCCCAAGUUUAUGCCUCUUUCCUGACGCCCUGCCUCAUCUCCCCACUCUCCACUUUGGGCUUUGGAGGUCUCCUACUGAGCCCCUCUUCGCAGCGUUUGGACCUCCUAGAAGUGGCCAAAGAUGAAUCCCAGCAGCAGCGCAUGGGAUCAACAAGCAGCUGAGCGACCUGCUCGACUUUAGUGCCCUUUGAGAAUUUUCCACGGCAUCUUGGACUUCUGCUGAGGGAGCAGAGCAUUUUCUUGGCAUUUACUAUAGCUAAUUAUUUAGAGAUUAUGCAACAACACACCAGCUGUCCUGAACCAAAUAUCUUCUCUGCAUUGGUGACUACUUUCCUGUUUCCUUGUUGUGAGAAUACUGUUCUUAAUUUUUCUCCAAUCCUGUCUCCCUCCCCUAGAUCACUGUUCCUCAGUAUCUUUUUUCCCAACUUGGAGUCUUGUUCUCUUCUCUUGGAUAUCUGUACUCUUGUUAUUGGGCUGUUCACAUGGAAGUCCUUCCCCCACCCCAAGUCCUUUUAUUCGUGGAACAUUUACUGAGAUUCCACUAUAUUCUAGUCACUGGAACUACCUGGGCAAAACAAAAAUUAUCCAUCCACAUUCCCUGGGCAGAGGGAGUGCUCAGUCUAAUGGGGAAGACAGAUUACUGUACUAUAUGAUGAUAAGUGCUAUAAUAGAGACAGGCCCUGGAGUAGUGGAAGCACAGAAAUAGAAAGAGCACUUGCUUAUGAAACCUUCAAGACUUAUCCCAUAUCUAAUGAAAAUGAUAAUCUGUUGCAUAAUACAAGGAGCAGAGAAUUUAUGCCUGGAGACAUCAUUAGACAAGUGGUCUUGGUCAAGUGAGUUACUGUCUCUGAGUAUCAGAUUCCUCACAAGUAUAGCAAAAGUGAUGAACAGAAUCAUGGUUUCCAAAGUGUGUUUCAUAGAAUAUUACUAAUGUUCAAAUAAAGAGCUCCAUGAUCAAAUACAUUUGUGUAUUACUGGAUUAAACAAAAUUAAAGAGAUUUGUUUAUUGUUGGAUUUCUCAGUUUUUAAAAAAGAUUUAUUUAUUUGUCAGAGAGAGAGAGAAAGCACACACAAGCAGCA